rnacentral:rRNA from 1 species
CACGUAGGGUGCGAGCGUUGUCCGGAAUUAUUGGGCGUAAAGAGCUCGUAGGCGGUGUGUCGCGUCGGCCGUGAAAACCUGCAGCUUAACUGUGGCGUGCGGUCGAUACGGCAUCACUGGAGUUCGGCAGGGGAGACUGGAAUUCCUGGUGUAGCGGUGAAAUGACGCAGAUAUCAGGAGGAACACCGGUGGCGAAGGCGGGUCUCUGGGCCGAUACUGACGCUGAGGAGCGAAAGCGUGGGGAGCGAACAGG